rnacentral:misc_RNA from 1 species
UCGUAACAAGGUUUCCGUAGGUGAACCUGCGGAAGGAUCAUUACCGAGUGCGGGCCUCGCGGCCCAACCUCCCACCCUUGUCUCUAUACACCUGUUGCUUUGGCGGGCCCACCGGGGCCACCUGGUCGCCGGGGGACGCACGUCCCCGGGCCCGCGCCCGCCGAAGCGCUCUGUGAACCCUGAUGAAGAUGGGCUGUCUGAGUACUAUGAAAAUUGUCAAAACUUUCAACAAUGGAUCUCUUGGUUCCGGCAUCGAUGAAGAACGCAGCGAAAUGCGAUAAGUAAUGUGAAUUGCAGAAUUCCGUGAAUCAUCGAAUCUUUGAACGCACAUUGCGCCCCCUGGCAUUCCGGGGGGCAUGCCUGUCCGAGCGUCAUUUCUGCCCUCAAGCACGGCUUGUGUGUUGGGUGUGGUCCCCCCGGGGACCUGCCCGAAAGGCAGCGGCGACGUCCGUCUGGUCCUCGAGCGUAUGGGGCUCUGUCACUCGCUCGGGAAGGACCUGCGGGGGUUGGUCACCACCAUAUUUUACCACGGUUGACCUCGGAUCAGGUAGGAGUUACCCGCUGAACUUAAGCAUAUCAAUAA